rnacentral:rRNA from 1 species
CAGUCGCCGCGGGAAUACGUAGGUGGCAAGCGUUGUCCGGAAUUAUUGGGCGUAAAGGGCUCGCAGGCAGUUUCUUAAGUCUGAUGUGAAAGCCCCCGGCUCAACCGGGGAGGGUCAUUGGAAACUGGUUGACUUGAGUGCAGAAGAGGAGAGUGGAAUUCCAUGUGUAGCGGUGAAAUGCGUAGAUAUAUGGAGGAACACCAGUGGCGAAGGCGACUCUCUGGUCUGUAACUGACGCUGAGGCUCGAAAGCGUGGGUAGCAAACAGGAUUAGAUACCCCUGUAGUCCCUGUCUCUUAUAC